rnacentral:lncRNA from 12 species
CUCUUUGGGGGGUCUCUCGACAGAAUUCUUUCCUUUGAGAAGACAAGAACUAAGGAAUUCCACAGUCCACCACCAGGUAACACAACGAGAAGGGAGGCCGACAAGUAUUUCAGAAGCUGCUUCAGCAGCAGCUGAGUCCAAGCAGGACCAAGUGCUGGUGGAGGGGAGGCCUAAGCAGUCUCCGCUACAGGAAGGAAUGCUGGAGAGGACAAUAAAAGGCAGAAGCGGUCAUUUGUCUUUCAGCAUGAAUUCCAAAUUGUUGAGAACCAAUACUUGAAGCGUCUGAUCCAAAAACUCCAGGAAAAAGCUCUCCUGUUGUCCUUCAGGUAGGACCUAGCUAGAUCUCAAGCAAUAUGGAUGCAGCUCAGACAUCUAUAUUUUUCAAGUACUUCAUGGGUGAUUGUGAUGUACAUCAUCAGGCUUGAGAACCAUUGCUGUAGGUAGGGGGCAGUCUUUAAUGGUUUAAGGGCUUGUGGGAUCCGUAUUUUUUCAACAGAUCACUGGUUACUACAUAGUGGAUCAAUUUGAGGUGAAGCAAGACUGGUGUUAGGGAGGGCUGUUGGGAUACCACUGUAAUCAUCCAUGGGACAGGUGAUGGGUUCUGAACCAGGGCGGUGGAAGCUGGAAAGGGAGACAGAGCUUAGGAGUAGGGAGGCUGACUCAAUAGGUAUUUAGAAGGCAAAAUCAGCCCUACUCUGUGAUUGAAUGUGGAGGGUAGACUAGCAAAGAAGUCUAAAAUAACUCAGAUUUGUACGCUGAGUGACUGGUUGCAUUGGUGAAGCUUUUAUCUAAAUACAUUUUAACAGCAACUCUCUGACACCAGUGGGUAUUCUAUAGUUCGAUUCAAUUCCAGCACAAUUCAGAAUUAAAGCAGACCCCACAACUUAAAGGCUCAGUCCCAAAAGACUGCUUCGCUCAGCCCCCAGGUGACCCACACUUCUGUUGGGCUUGGCUACAAAUUCAGGGGUUCCCACAACCUGACUUUAUGUUCAGUAGGGUGCUAAAAUGACUCACAGAACUCACUGAAACUCAUUAUACUUAACCAUGACCAUUUUAUUGUAAGGAUGCAAAUAAAUGACCAGAUGAAGAGAUGCA